UACGUAGGGGGCAAGCGUUGUCCGGAAUCAUUGGGCGUAAAGAGCGUGUAGGCGGCCUGAUAAGUCGGCUGUGAAAGUCAAGGGCUCAACCCUUGAAUGCCGGCCGAUACUGUCAGGCUAGAGUCCGGAAGAGGCGAGUGGAAUUCCUGGUGUAGCGGUGAAAUGCGCAGAUAUCAGGAGGAACACCAAUGGCGAAGGCAGCUCGCUGGGACGGUACUGACGCUGAGACGCGAAAGCGUGGGGAGCGAACAGG
rnacentral:rRNA from 1 species